rnacentral:rRNA from 1 species
GACGAACGCUGGCGGCGUGCUUAACACAUGCAAGUCGAACGGAAAGGCCCUGCUUUUGUGGGGUGCUCGAGUGGCGAACGGGUGAGUAACACGUGAGUAACCUGCCCUUGACUUUGGGAUAACUUCAGGAAACUGGGGCUAAUACCGGAUAGGAGCUCCUGCUGCAUGGUGGGGGUUGGAAAGUUUCGGCGGUUGGGGAUGGACUCGCGGCUUAUCAGCUUGUUGGUGGGGUAGGGGCUUACCAAGGCUUUGACGGGUAGCCGGCCUGAGAGGGUGACCGGCCACAUUGGGACUGAGAUACGGCCCAGACUCCUACGGGAGGCAGCAGUGGAGAAUAUUGCACAAUGGGCGGAAGCCUGAUGCAGCAACGCCGCGUGCGGGAUGACGGCCUUCGGGUUGUAAACCGCUUUCGCCUGUGACGAAGCGUGAGUGACGGUAAUGGGUAAAGAAGCACCGGCUAACUACGUG